GUCCUUGCAGCCUGAGCAGCAGAGUGGUCCCAAACUGUGGGAGUGAAUGAACCCGUGAGCAGAACUUGCUGCGCUUCUGGGCACCGGGGCCAUACACAAUUUCAUCGGAGUGCUGAUGGCAUGUGGAGCACCACUUCUCUGAGUGACUGAGGGGCUCUGCUGAGCUCCUCUCAAGGAACCUCCCAUGGCUCCAGCUGCUACUGUGUCUGAAAUCUCUAGAGACAUACUGCAUUUUUCUGAAUGCUGUCAAAAUUCUUUCA